AUUGAACGCUGGCGGCAGGCCUAACACAUGCAAGUCGAGCGGUAGCACAGAGAGCUUGCUCUCGGGUGACGAGCGGCGGACGGGUGAGUAAUGUCUGGGAAACUGCCUGAUGGAGGGGGAUAACUACUGGAAACGGUAGCUAAUACCGCAUAACGUCGCAAGACCAAAGUGGGGGACCUUCGGGCCUCAUGCCAUCAGAUGUGCCCAGAUGGGAUUAGCUGGUAGGUGGGGUAACGGCUCACCUAGGCGACGAUCCCUAGCUGGUCUGAGAGGAUGACCAGCCACACUGGAACUGAGACACGGUCCAGACUCCUACGGGAGGCAGCAGUGGGGAAUAUUGCACAAUGGGCGCAAGCCUGAUGCAGCCAUGCCGCGUGUGUGAAGAAGGCCUUCGGGUUGUAAAGCACUUUCAGCGGGGAGGAAGGCGGUGAGGUUAAUAACCUCACCGAUUGACGUUACCCGCAGAAGAAGCACCGGCUAACUCCGUGCCAGCCGCCGCGGUAAUAC
rnacentral:rRNA from 1 species